GUCAGGGAUCCCAGACUAGCUGACCUUUCUCCUUUUGCAGUCUGGGGGUGGAAAUGAGAACAUAAUAGCCCAUGAUGAGCUGGCUGAGCAAAGUUGGGCCAAGCCAUCAAAUGCAGCUGUUGACUUCCCACAGGACUGAUCUCUCUUGCCUCACAGUUCACUUCAGGAGGAAGGUGUGCAGAAUAUAUGGCCACAUGACCUGUCCACAAGUUGAACAGUGAAACAAGCAGCCUACACCAGGGUAAGAGUGUUGUCAUCCAGAUUCUCAUCCAGAUUCCUAAAAGGCGUUGGCAAUGGCCCAGAAAUGACUGCAGAGAGGAAUUGGUCCACUUCCUGGAGGUCACUGAUGCAACAAGGUUUUUGCCCCCUUGGAAUGCCUAAUGCUUGCUCCAGAAGGUAGUGACUGGUUGCAGUUGUUCCUUCGGUACUCCCUCAACUCCUUGAUAUUGGCAAUCUUUGGUAAACUGCAGCCAUGUCCUUCUUCAGUCCCCAGAUUGGCAGCUACUCAUACGUUUUGAUGUAGAGUCCUUCCUGGCCCGGCGAAGACAACCCCCAGGAAGGCCCUCAGGCUGCCUCUCAACAAAAGCCUUUUCUCGUGGUGGUCUUAGCCUUCUCUGAUGCCAAGAUAUGCCUGUCACCAUCUCUAUUGAUCUCUUUCAUCACCAAGGCAUAUUUGCCAACUUCAACUCUUUAAAAAAACACACACACAAAAGUUCCAACAUUUCAUAAGGGAAGCAGGGCACCAAUCUGUUUACUCUAGAG
rnacentral:lncRNA from 1 species